CGCGAGGUGGAUCAGUGGUAGAUCGCCUGGCGAGUAGGAGGACGCGGGUUCGAUUCCCGCCCUCGCGG
rnacentral:tRNA from 1 species